rnacentral:rRNA from 1 species
AUGGAGAGACUUGUUAAUGUUCAUUACAUUGACAAGGAGGCAUUCUUGAGUAACAAUGCCGACACGGGUGAGGAACCAUUGGUUUUUGAUAGAAGCCCUAGCUAUGAGGAUGUUGUUGCAAAAGUGAGACAAGUCUUGAAGUGGAUGGACACCAAUGUUGAUGUUAAGUUAAUAGGAAGGUAUGAUGUUGGAGUUGGAGCCAAAUCUCGCUUGAAAAGUAUGCCUAUCACCUCGGAUUUGCAUUGGGAUGUAUACAAGGAAAAAGUAUCCCAAUCGGAAGACAAGUCACUUGAAUUGUUUGCCACCACUGAAUCUCCUCGGUUUACCUUUGAUUUGAACCGGCAUGUCUCUUCCCCAAUGGAUGACAUGAGCGUUGAGUUGUAUGCCCCCAAUGCUUCUAGCCAACCACCAACUAGCCAAGCAAAUGAAGUUGAGGUGAUUGCUAGUGACGGAGUAAUUCAAGAGGAUGAAGAUGCUUAUGAUGACGACGAAGAGCAAGAGGAAGGGUUUCAUGGCAAUGAUGUUGGUGACUUGGAUGUGUACAUAGCGCAAAAGGACAUGGAUCGUGACUUGCCUUUUAGGCGUCAAUAUGCGUAUGACUCGGAUGACGAGGGUCCAGUUGAAUAG